CCGACUGGCAUCAGCGGUGGCUCUGGGAAGAGCCGCAGCCAAAUCCAGGAAAGGGGCCCAGGACGAACUCCAGCUGGAGGCUCACAGCCUUACUCAUCCUGGGGUCACGGCCGGGUCAAAGAAAUGCCCGUGUGGGAAGGAGAAAAGCAGACACCUGUAGACAUUUGCGCCCUCCUGUGUCCUGUAGCCUGUUUGACCUGGUAUGGGAAAACUCCCAGAGCCAAAGAAGUUUCCAGAAGUCACGAAGUUCCCUCAUGGUAGAUGUUUCUUACGUCUUUUUGUUUGUUUGUUUGGUUUUGAACUGUUGCUUUUGCGACUGGAGAACAAAGCCAGACGUUGUAGCCUUACAAAGCGUGCCAGAGAGGUGUUCUACCAUUAACAACAUCUUCAAUCAGAGUUCAGACUUUGCUCUCCUUGGGUCUCCUGGAAACAGAGCCGCCUCUCGGACUGGUUACUGGGCAGACUCCGAGGCAGUUUUCCAAAGCACCCAGAUGCCUGGCCUUGCUUCACAGAGGAAUAUUCUACAAUAUGUGGGGCUUGGUAAGAGAUUCAAUCCCCCCACCCCACCCCCAACACACACACCUAAGAACUAGAACUUCUGGAAACCUGCUUCGGGAAGAAGAAUUACGUCCUCCAGUGAUACGGAACUACGCUGCGGCUCUGGACGCCACUGGCUGGACCGAAGCUUGGCUCCAGAUCUUUCCUGUCACUGAAGGCUGACCGCAAGGCCCCCGCGGCACUCAGGAAAUGCAGCCAGGGGUCAGAGAAUUCUCAGAAAGGGGUGUGGAUCCGGAGGAGUUGUCUGGGUGGUGUCCUCCCUGUCCUAAACAGGGACAAAUUCUCUAACGUUAAAGAUAUGUUGAGGCCCCUCCGUGCUAGGCUUUCUGCCCCAGGUAGGACAAUACUGCGAGAUCUGAUGAGGCCUCGCGGGCGCGCGGUUACAGUCUAACGUGCACCGCAGACAGUCCCGGGAAGGGGCAGGGUGGGUAUGGAAAACAGUCGCAGUAACCCCAGUGGCCUGGCAUUAGGGUGGGGACAUUGGCAGGAAGGGCUUGGACAGAUGGGAAAGAGUAUUCCAAACAGCUCCAGGGCAGCCCUAGAGGCCCCGGGCACCGUAGGGUUAAGUUCUAUAAACAGUGAUCGGUCCCACAUGCUUGGGAAGAUUUCCCAGUGCAGGGUUGUGGCGCUCAGAAGCAGGCCCAGUGGCCCAGUGGGCCCUGGAGGAGUCUGUGGUGCCCACUGUUCCCGGCAUGCAGACACGUCCAUGCCCAGACACAGGGCCUUCCAAGAGUCCCACAGUCCCGCUCGGCCGCAGCUGCAGGAAGCAGCCUCGACCUUGGAUGCCUUUUUAUGAUUUUGGUGCCUAGUGCAGAACCUUUGUAGUCCAGAUUUCCAGUUCUUUUCCUAGUCUGUCCCUCGGUCACCGUACUGGCCUACACCAGCUCUUCUUACCCCGCUAGCACUGUGGGAAUUCCUGGGGGCGCUUUUGAAAACGACGGAAGGCGUUUAUGAGAGUCCCCCUCCUGGAAAUGCGGUUCAGCAGAACCAGACUUGAGAGGGUCACCAGCCAGGCUGUCUGGAGGAGCCCCAGACUCAGAGCAGGGCCCUCAGAGUCCUCGUCUCUGAUAGGCUGGGAAGGGUGCUGGCGAGCCAAUAGGAGGGAGCCGUUGUCUUGGGCUCUGUCUUCCAGGCAUCCACCAGACAGCAGAGGUCAAAGGUUCCAACCGGAAGCAGGGCAAGAACCAGAUGACUUUUCUAGCCGGUGAUAACAACCAUGAGCCUCCUUAGCGGGGUGGUUAAUCCCCCAAGGCAAUGGCAGCCUUGUCACAACACCCCCAGGCAUACCUGGCAAGGCGCCAAAGGCGUAGUUAAGGACAGGGGGCGGGGGGGGCGUUUAAGAAAGACCCUGAAGUCACAUCUAAGGCCUUCUAGUUAGGCUGCUGCAAGGGAGAUGACACCAGUUACCAAGUGGGUGACCAGAUGUUCUCUCCAAGCAGCCUAAGGAGCACUGUAGGACUCGCGGGGUGGGGGGUGAGGAGGGGUCUACAGAAGGAGGGGGUUUUCUCACGAGCCCCAGAUCUGGUCACUGUCAAGCAGUGUAGUUUCCAUUUGUCAUCGGAGGAGACCGGCUUUGUUUCCUCCUGGAGCAGCGAGUGGUUCUGGAAUCUGAAGGGCCAGCAUUAAGAGAAACCGGACAACUUCUGUGUGACCUUUGGCUGCAAGGUUUUGGAACUUUCUGUUUUUGCUGUGCACGCCUGGGACUGCAGGUCUCUAAUCCUAGGGGUUUGGGUGUUAAACGCUAGAAAGUCUGGUUGAAAAGCAGCCAACUCACAGCAGACUGUUUCCUGAGGGCGGGGGUAGGGCAAAUGUCAAGGUCCUGGGGGGGGGGGCGCAGAAGUGGCACCGCUUGCGUAAUCAGCCUGGAACUGACUUCCUCGGAAACUCACUGGGAUUGCCUCCAGGACCCUUUCCAUGAAGCGCCAACGGCUCUGUGGACGGAUUUGCAGGUCGGGGUGGGAGCUCGGGCAGGGUGCUCCACGUUCUCAUCUUGUGGAUGAGGAAAUUGAGGAGGGGGAGAGCCUCCCCGCCCCCGCCCCGUGGCUAACUUGUGAUCCUACUGCAAUGCAUGGAGUCUAUCCACUCCAACGCAA